AUGUGCCUUGGGUGUGGCCCUAAAAGGACAAAACAAAAAACAAAAAAACCCAGUAUAUUGUAAAGGUGGACUAUCUCCCAUAUUUUAUUUAAUUCAGUUCUAAAAGCCGGAAGGCAGAAAACACAAAUUCUGAAGGCACGGAAUCUAACCUCAAUGCUGUGUGCCCUGUGUGACCUUGAAAAAGUCACCUGAAGAAAGCCUCUGGGAUCAGUUUUCUCCUUCACUGCUGGAGGGGCAGGGACCAGAUAAUCCGUCAUCUCCUACUAGGUUAUAAUACGACCCCCCCCCCCCCACUUACAAUCCUGCUCCGGGAGGCAAUUCCUGCCCCUCCCCUCCCAUUGUCACAGCAGUUCCUGUUUAUCGUGGGUGACAUCUUCAGCUUCAACGCAGCGUGAGCCCUGCCAUGUUGGAACUGUUCUUCGAGCCUCAGCCUUUUCGAUUAAAGCCGCUUCAUGAAUAACGAAGGAUAAAUAAAGUCAAUGUCGCCCUUUUCUCAGAGGUAUGUGAAAUGCUUUGUUUAACUACAAGUGUCUGCUGAGAAAUUUCAGGUCUCCCAAAUAGUGUGAUUGAAG
rnacentral:lncRNA from 9 species